GUCUGAGGAGUGUGAGGAGCGUCCCUGGCGUGUCUCUGGCGGCGCUCGCUCGCAGCGGGGCGGGAGGAGGUUCCAGCGGGACCGGCGUCCGGAGAGGGCUUUCCGCGUCUCCUCAGCCACUCCGCGGGGGACAGGAACUGCUACUAAAAUUAGGGCCCAUCAAAUGGCAGUAGAUAUCUUGAUUCAUGUGAUGUUACACUGUAGUAGACCACAGUGAUCUGGCAUGCUGGCCUGCAGUGUAAUAUCACUGAUUCAGCUUGUGGAUAACAGUGUUAUCCACAACAACACCCCUUCAGAACCUGGGGUACUUUAUUUUUAAUAACUUCAUUGAUGGCAGAUCUUCAGCCUUUUGACAACAGUCAGAAAUCUUUCAGAGCCAGGUUUGGUGAUUAAGGUGAGUGAUCACUUUCUUUUGUUUAAUUAGAGAGACUGCAUGAUUUUAUUCCUAUUCAGUUUU
rnacentral:lncRNA from 1 species